AUACAGAGGGUGCAAGCGUUAAUCGGAUUUACUGGGCGUAAAGCGCGCGUAGGCGGCUAAUUAAGUCAAAUGUGAAAUCCCCGAGCUUAACUUGGGAAUUGCAUUCGAUACUGGUUAGCUAGAGUGUGGGAGAGGAUGGUAGAAUUCCAGGUGUAGCGGUGAAAUGCGUAGAGAUCUGGAGGAAUACCGAUGGCGAAGGCAGCCAUCUGGCCUAACACUGACGCUGAGGUGCGAAAGCAUGGGGAGCAAACAGGAUUAGAUACCCUGGUAGUCC
rnacentral:rRNA from 1 species